rnacentral:misc_RNA from 1 species
AUCUUUUCUGUGAGGCUCUCCUUCUUCUUUGCUCUCCUUUUUGGCCAUGGAGUUUUUGAGCUUAAAGCUUCCCAUCACACUUACCAUACUUUUCAAAAUCUUCAAGAAUCUGCAGUUUCUGCAACAAUUCAACCUUACAGAACUGGUUAUCACUUUCAACCUCCCAAGAACUGGAUAAAUGAUCCAAAUGGGCCAAUGAUAUACAAGGGAGUUUACCACCUGUUCUACCAAUACAAUCCUAAGGGAGCUGUGUGGGGCAACAUUGUAUGGGCCCACUCAACUUCAAGAGAUCUUGUUAACUGGACCCCACAAAAGGUUGCCAUCUUCCCAUCUCAGCCAUCAGAUAUUAAUGGUACCUGGUCUGGUUCAGCCACAAUCCUCCCGGAUGGCACACCUGCUAUUCUUUACACAGGAAUUAACCCACUAAACCAACAAGUUCAAAACUUAGCCUUGCCCAAAAACCCAUCUGACCCGUACCUCUUAGAAUGGGUGAAGUCACCCAAAAAUCCUGUAAUGGCACCCACCCCUGAGAACCAAAUUAAUGCUAGCUCAUUCAGAGACCCAACCACUGCCUGGCUUGGUGUUGAUGGAAGAUGGAGGUUGAUCGUUGGAAGCAAAAUUAACCGUAAGGGAUUAGCAUAUCUUUACAGAAGUAAAGAUUUUGUUCAUUGGAUUAAAGCCAAACACCCAUUGCAUUCUGCUAAGAAAACUGGAAUGUGGGAAUGUGUGGAUUUUUUCCCAGUGUCAGUUAAUAGCCCAGUUGGGCUUGAUACGUCAACGUUGGGACCACAUGUUAAGCAUGUUCUUAAGGCGAGUUUAGAUGAUACUAAACAUGAUUACUACACAAUUGGAGAAUAUGAUCAUGUGAAAGAUAUUUAUACUCCGGAUGAAGGAUCAGUGGAUGGGGAUUCUGGUUUAAGAUAUGAUUAUGGGAAAUUUUAUGCUUCAAAAACUUUCUUCGACAGUUCCAAGAAUAGAAGGCUCUUAUUGGGUUGGCUAAAUGAAUCUUCAAGUGUUAGUGAUGAUAUCAAGAAGGGCUGGGCUGGAAUUCAUGCAAUUCCAAGAGUUGUCAGACUCGACAAAUCAGGAAAACAACUGGUGCAAUGGCCAAUCAAGGAAAUUGAAAAGCUUCGUACGAAUCCAGUCCACUUGCCUAGUCAAUACCUUAAAGGAGGAUCUGUGCUUGAAGUCCCUGGUCUCACAGCAGCACAGGCAGAUGUGGAGAUUACAUUUAAGGUAUCAGAUUUUAGCAAAGCAGAAGUGCUAGACACAAGCUGGACCAAUCCACAAUUGCUUUGUAGCCAAAAGGGUGCCUCAGUUAAAGGCAGCCUAGGUCCAUUUGGGCUGCUAAUUUUGGCUUCUAAGGGCAUGCAAGAAUACACAUCUGUUUUCUUUAGAAUAUUCAAGGGCCAGGACAAUUAUGUUGUGCUUAUGUGCAGUGACCAAAGCAGGUCUCCAAUAAAUCCUGACAAUGAUAAGACCACUUAUGGGUCAUUUGUUGAUGUGGACCUAAUUUAUGAGCAAUUGUCGUUAAGAAGCUUGAGAUUGAUCGUUCAGUAGUGGAGAGGCUUGGUGGGCAAGGAAAGAGUUGCAUUUCAGCAAGAGUCUAUCCCACAUUGGCAAUAAAUGAGGCAGCCCACUUGUAUGCUUUCAAUAAUGGAAGUGAAAGUGUUACUAUCACAAGACUCAGUGCUUGUAUGCAUGAAGAAGGCUCGCAUCAACUGAGAAACUAAACUGGGAGUUACAAAAUGAGGAUGAGAUGUAUUUACAACUACACAUCUUGAUU